GAAGUAACUCUGCUCAAUGAGUAUAACAUUUAAAUGGCUGCAGUAAUCUGACUGUACAAAGGUAGCAUAAUCAAUAGUUUUUUAAUUGAAAACUGGAAUGAAAGAACCCACGAAAUAAAAUCUGUCUCUUAUUAUAAAGUUAAACUUAACCUUUAAGUUAAAAGGCUAAAAUGGAAUUGAUAGACGAGAAGACCCUAUAGACCUUUAUAUAAUACUUAUAUUUAAUUAAUUUAUGAAAUAUAACAACUAAAUAUUAUGUUGGGGAAACAAGAAGGAAAAGAUGAACCCUUCUUUAUAAAUAUCAUUUAUAAAUGUAAUAUCACAAAAUGAUCCAAUACAAUAAAAUUGACUAACAGUUCAAGGUACCUUAGGGAUAACAGCGUAAUCUUUUUUGAGAGUUCUUAUCGACAAAGGAGUUGCGACCUCGAUGUUGGAUUAAGGAAAGUUUUUAAAGUAGAAGUUAAAAAAUCUAGGUCUGUUCGACCU
rnacentral:rRNA from 1 species